UACAGAGGUCCCAAGCGUUGUUCGGAUUCACUGGGCGUAAAGGGUGCGUAGGCGGUCGGGUAAGUCUGACGUGAAAUCUUCAAGCUCAACUUGGAAACUGCGCCGGAUACUAUUCGGCUAGAGGAAUGGAGGGGAGACUGGAAUACUUGGUGUAGCAGUGAAAUGCGUAGAUAUCAAGUGGAACACCAGUGGCGAAGGCGAGUCUCUGGACAUUUCCUGACGCUGAGGCACGAAAGCCAGGGGAGCAAACGGG
rnacentral:rRNA from 1 species